rnacentral:rRNA from 1 species
CAUGCAAGUCGAGCGGAGUGAUGGUGCUUGCACUAUCACUUAGCGGCGGACGGGUGAGUAAUGCUUAGGAAUCUGCCUAUUAGUGGGGGACAACAUUUCGAAAGGAAUGCUAAUACCGCAUACGUCCUACGGGAGAAAGCAGGGGAUCUUCGGACCUUGCGCUAAUAGAUGAGCCUAAGUCGGAUUAGCUAGUUGGUGGGGUAAAGGCCUACCAAGGCGACGAUCUGUAGCGGGUCUGAGAGGAUGAUCCGCCACACUGGGACUGAGACACGGCCCAGACUCCUACGGGAGGCAGCAGUGGGGAAUAUUGGACAAUGGGCGCAAGCCUGAUCCAGCCAUGCCGCGUGUGUGAAGAAGGCCUUAUGGUUGUAAAGCACUUUAAGCGAGGAGGAGGCUACUGAAGUUAAUACCUUCAGAUAGUGGACGUUACUCGCAGAAUAAGCACCGGCUAACUCUGUGCCAGCAGCCGCGGUAAUACAGAGGGUGCAAGCGUUAAUCGGAUUUACUGGGCGUAAAGCGCGCGUAGGCGGCUAAUUAAGUCAAAUGUGAAAUCCCCGAGCUUAACUUGGGAAUUGCAUUCGAUACUGGUUAGCUAGAGUGUGGGAGAGGAUGGUAGAAUUCCAGGUGUAGCGGUGAAAUGCGUAGAGAUCUGGAGGAAUACCGAUGGCGAAGGCAGCCAUCUGGCCUAACACUGACGCUGAGGUGCGAAAGCAUGGGGAGCAAACAGGAUUAGAUACCCUGGUAGUCCAUGCCGUAAACGAUGUCUACUAGCCGUUGGGGCCUUUGAGGCUUUAGUGGCGCAGCUAACGCGAUAAGUAGACCGCCUGGGGAGUACGGUCGCAAGACUAAAACUCAAAUGAAUUGACGGGGGCCCGCACAAGCGGUGGAGCAUGUGGUUUAAUUCGAUGCAACGCGAAGAACCUUACCUGGCCUUGACAUAGUAAGAACUUUCCAGAGAUGGAUUGGUGCCUUCGGGAACUUACAUACAGGUGCUGCAUGGCUGUCGUCAGCUCGUGUCGUGAGA